rnacentral:rRNA from 1 species
UGAGGAAUUUUCGGCAAUGGGGGCAACCCUGACCGAGCAACGCCGCGUGCAGGAUGACGGCCUUCGGGUUGUAAACUGCUUUUCUGGGGGACGAGUGAGGACGGUACCCCAGGAAUCAGCCCCGGCUCACUACGUGCCAGCAGCCGCGGUAAUACGUAGGGGGCGAGCGUUGUCCGGAGUGACUGGGCGUAAAGGGCCCGCAGGCGGUCGUGCGCGUUUUGAGUGACAGCUCCCGGCUUCACUGGGAGAGGGUUCAGAAGACGGCACGACUUGAGGGUGAGAGAGGGACACGGAAUUCCGGGUGUAGUGGUGAAAUGCGUAGAUAUCCGGAGGAACACCGAAGGCGAAGGCAGUGUCCUGGCUCAUACCUGACGCUGAGGGGCGAAAGCCAGGGGAGCGAACGG